UUGGGGGUGAAGGGGGGGCCCCUCAAAGGCCUCUGGGCUCCGAAGGCUCCUAGUCGUGCUCGAGGGUGAGCCUUUAGAAGAGAUACUGGCCCGGCCCAGCCUUG